UACGGAGGGGCUAGCGUUGUUCGGAAUUACUGGGCGUAAAGCGCACGUAGGCGGCUUUGCAAGUUAGAGGUGAAAGCCCGGGGCUCAACCCCGGAAUUGCCUUUAAAACUGCAUCGCUAGAAUUGUGGAGAGGUAAGUGGAAUUCCGAGUGUAGAGGUGAAAUUCGUAGAUAUUCGGAAGAACACCAGUGGCGAAGGCGACUUACUGGACACAUAUUGACGCUGAGGUGACGAAAGCGUGGGGAGCAAACAGGG
rnacentral:rRNA from 1 species